rnacentral:rRNA from 1 species
GACGAACGCUGGCGGCGUGCCUAACACAUGCAAGUCGAACGGAACUCAUUGGAUCAAGACUUCGGUCAAGUGAAUUUGAGUUUAGUGGCGGACGGGUGAGUAACGCGUGAGGAACCUGCCUUUCAGAGGGGGACAACAGUUGGAAACGACUGCUAAUACCGCAUGAUGCAUUUUGGGGCAUCCCUUAAAUGCCAAAGAUUUUAUCGCUGAAAGAUGGCCUCGCGUCUGAUUAGAUAGUUGGUGGGGUAACGGCCCACCAAGUCGACGAUCAGUAGCCGGACUGAGAGGUUGAACGGCCACAUUGGGACUGAGAUACGGUCCAGACUCCUACGGGAGCAGCAGUGGGGAAUAUUGGGCAAUGGGCGAAAGCCUGACCCAGCGACGCCGCGUGAGGGAAGAAGGUCUUCGGAUUGUAAACCUUUGUUGACAGGGACGAUAAUGACGGUACCUGUCGAGGAAGCCAACGGCUAACUACGUG